GGGAAGGUGGCUCAGUGGUAGAGCACUUGCCUUGCAUGCAUGAGGCCCUAGGUUCAAUUCCUCAGCACCCCA
rnacentral:tRNA from 1 species